rnacentral:rRNA from 1 species
CUACGGGCCGCUGCAGUGAGGAAUAUUGCACAAUGGGGGGAACCCUGAUGCAGCAACGCCGCGUGGAGGAUGACGCAUUUCGGUGUGUAAACUCCUUUUAUAUGUCAAGAAAAUGACGGUAGCAUAUGAAUAAGCACCGGCUAACUCCGUGCCAGUAGCCGCGGUAAUACGGAGGGUGCAAGCGUUACUCGGAAUCACUGGCGUAAAGGACGCGUAGGCGGGUUGGAAAGUCAGGUGUGAAAUCCUACAGCUUAACUGUAGAACUGCACUUGAAACUUCUAAUCUAGAGUAUGGGAGGGGGAGAUGGAAUUAGUGGUGUAGGGGUAAAAUCCGUAGAUAUCACUAGGAAUACCUAAAGCGAAGGCGAUCUCCUGGAACAUUACUGACGCUAAGGCGUGAAAGCGUGGGGAGCAAACAGGAUUAGAUACCCCAGUAGUC